rnacentral:ncRNA from 1 species
GAUCUUGGUCGCAGGGCACGACCAACGCAAUCAAAACAACGCUCGCUGAGA